rnacentral:tRNA from 1 species
UUCCUGGCAGUCCAGUGGCUAAGACUCUGUACUCCCAAUUCAGGGGUCCUGGGUUCGAUCCCUGGUCAGGAAA